rnacentral:rRNA from 1 species
ACGUAGGGCGCGAGCGUUGUCCGGAUUUAUUGGGCGUAAAGAGCUCGUAGGCGGCUCAUUGCGUCAACCGUGAAAACCUGCCGCUCAACGGUAGGCUUGCGGUUGAUACGGGUGGGCUGGAGUUCGGUAGGGGAGACUGGAAUUCCUGGUGUAGCGGUGAAAUGCGUAGAGAUCGAGAGGAACACCAGUGGCGAAGGCGAGUUCCUGGACAAGUCCUGACGCUGAGGCACGAAAGCCAGGGGAGCAAACAGGA